rnacentral:lncRNA from 1 species
UUAACCAACUGCAUCCCCUUCCUUCCCCAUUUGAAUUAGGUUUCCCAACAACCACUUCAUGCCUUCUUCUAUUGAUUACUUAAUUUAUUUAUUGGAUAUAUAUAUAUAUAUAAAGUGAACUCAUCCAUCUAUAUAUAGAAAGAGAGGGAGAGAAAUACAUAGAUAAAUAUUGCACAGAACAUAAGUAUAUACUAGACGACAUAUAUUUAUUUAGAAAGAGAAUAAGAGGAGAGAGAGAGAGAGAUCAUGAUAAGGGUGGGCAUGGUGGUGGAGCUGUUGGAAGAAUACAGGGUGGUGAUGGCAAUGCUGAGACGGGGGAUUUUCCUCUCAAGGCGUGUUCCAGUUCCGUCGACGACGUCUUCUCUCAGAAUGAAUGCUUAUUCCUCACUCACGGUCGAUGCUCAUUUUCUUGUUUACUUCUGACCUACGAUUAAUUCUCCCCAUCUAGCUUGUUUCUCAUCAUCAUCGCCCCGCCCCAAGUUAAUUAAUUGCUUUCAUUUCAUUUCAUAUACUAUAUUAAUUUAUUUCAGAAAAUAAUUAAUUAUUCAUUUCAUUUAUUCAGACUUUAAUUUAUAUAUAUAUAUUCUCUAUAUAUAACUUUCAUUUCAUUUAUAUUGACAAUUAAUAAUUAUAAAAUUAAGUUGUUGAUUUAUAUAUAUACAGAUCGAAUACGGAUGGUUGUGGCAACCACAACUAAUAUGAUUGUGAUUAAAUAUUAGAUUAUACGUAAUUUGAUACUUGUCUUAGUGACAAUUUUGCCAUUCCAUCAUUUCACCAAUCAAAAGUAAUUAAGUCGAUUUGAGUUGAUUAUGAGAAUUAUCCACAAUUAUUAUACUUACUUUAAAUAUAUAUAUAUAUGAAUGAUCCAUCCAUGUAAAUUAAUAAUUAGUCACAGUUUUGUACACCUACAAACUGAUCAGUACCAUUCUUCUCGAUCUCCAUUUUUAUGUAUGUUGUACAACUUAAUCUGUUAUCCAAGAAAGAAAGAAAGAAAAACAAGGCGUUGCACAUUCCAUUAGAUAGAUGUCUUGUCUUGUUAUCGUACCAACAGCCAACAUAGCACGCUACUUGGUCCCUGUUUGGUCCGAACCGGUCUAAUAUUUGAACGUGGAGUAACUGAGGGUUUACAUUUAUUUUUAAUUUUAAAAUUACGAAUUGACACAAGUUUCUUAAUUUGUCAUAUUAUUUUUUGUUAUCAUUUUUAGUAUUACAUCAUUACUAUUAAAUUUUAAUAUGAAGUAGUUGACAACAUAAAUUAUUUUUAUUGUCGUCAAUAUUGUAUUAGAAAUAUAUUUUAUUUUUUAAAAAAAUAAUAAUAAGAAUUAAUAAAUGAACCCCCACUAAUCAAUUAAUCAUAUUCAUGGCUAUGGGGAAUUUCAUUGUCUUUUUCCCCAUUUAUGGUCUAUGGCCU